rnacentral:rRNA from 1 species
UGGGGAAUUUUGGACAAUGGGCGCAAGCCUGAUCCAGCCAUGCCGCGUGCGGGAAGAAGGCCUUCGGGUUGUAAACCGCUUUUGUCAGGGAAGAAAUCUUCUGAGUUAAUACCUCGGGAGGAUGACGGUACCUGAAGAAUAAGCACCGGCUAACUACGUGCCAGCAGCCGCGGUAAUACGUAGGGUGCAAGCGUUAAUCGGAAUUACUGGGCGUAAAGCGUGCGCAGGCGGUUUUGUAAAAACAGAGGUGAAAAUCCCCGGGCUCAACCUGGGGAACUGCCUUUGUGACUGCAAGGCUUGAAGUGCGGCAGAGGGGGGAUGGAAUUCCGCGUGUAGCAGUGAAAUGCGUAGAUAUGCGGAGGAACACCGAUGGCGAAAGGCAAAUCCCCCUGGGCCUGCACUGACGCUCAUGCACGAAAAGCGUGGGGAGCAAAACAGGGAUUAGAUACCCCUGGUAGUCCACGCCCUAAAACGAUGUCAACUGGUUGUUGGGGAAAGGUUCCCUUCUCAGUAAACGUAAGCUAAACGCGUGAAAGUUGACCGCCUGGGGGAGUACGGCCGCAAAGGUUGAAAACUCAAAAUGAAAUUGACGGGGGUCAUAGCUGUUUCCUG